rnacentral:rRNA from 1 species
GAGCGCCCCGCAAGGGGAGCGGCAGACGGGUGAGUAACGCGUGGGAAUCUACCCUUUUCUACGGAAUAACGCAGGGAAACUUGUGCUAAUACCGUAUAUCCCCUCCGGGGGAAAGAUUUAUCGCCAUAGGAUGGGCCCGCGUUGGAUUAGCUAGUUGGUGAGGUAAUGGCUCACCAAGGCGACGAUCCAUAGCUGGUCUGAGAGGAUGAUCAGCCACAUUGGGACUGAGACACGGCCCAAACUCCUACGGGAGGCAGCAGUGGGGAAUAUUGGACAAUGGGGGCAACCCUGAUCCAGCCAUGCCGCGUGAGUGAAGAAGGCCUUAGGGUUGUAAAGCUCUUUCGCUAGGGACGAUAAUGACGGUACCUAGAUAAGAAGCCCCGGCUAACUUCGUG